rnacentral:rRNA from 1 species
GGGGGGGGGGGGGGGGGGGGGGGGGGGGUGGGGGGCGGGGGGGGGGGGGCGGGGUGGGGGGGGUGCUCGAGUGGCGGACGGGUGAGUAACGCGUGAGGAACCUGCCCUUGACUUUGGGCUAACUUCAGGAAACUGGGGCUGAUACCGGGUAGGGUCUCCUGCUGCAUGGUGGGGGUUGGAAAGUUUCGGCGGUUGGGGAUGGACUCGCGGCUUCUCAGCUUGUUGGUGGGGUAGGGGCUUACCAAGGCUUUGACGGGCAGCCGGCCUGAGAGGGUGACCGGCCACAUUGGGACUGAGAUACGGCCCAGACUCCUACGGGAGGCAGCAGUGGGGAAUAUUGCACAAUGGGCGGAAGCCUGAUGCAGCAACGCCGCGUGCGGGAUGACGGCCUUCGGGUUGUAAACCGCUUUCGCCUGUGACGAAGCGUGAGUGACGGUAAUGGGUAAAGAAGCACCGGCUAACUACGUG